rnacentral:antisense_RNA from 1 species
ACGACAGUGCCUAGCAGAGGAGCUUCACUGCCGGUGAGGGAUUACCUCAGGUUAGGCUUUAAUGUUUCGUUGCCGUCUAGAGACGUUCUAGCAAUGUGACAUCUGUGUACCAUAUCUGGAAGUCUCCCUGUACGUCAAGAGCCCCUUAGGGGAGUCUCCCAUUGCCGCCGUGGGAACCUGUGUUUACAUUACGAGGAGAGAGAAUAGCUGUACUCUGAACUCAAACGCUCAAAACAUGCAGUGAGCGAAUGCUAGCAUAAUUUUCUUGCCUCUACCAGAAGGAAGGCUGGGUAUUUAGGAAACAGAACGCGUUGGGCACAACAUUCUGAGAAAAUGGACACAGAAAAUUAGGUUAUCCUAAUAGAAAAGCAGUUGCAUCUCCCAAAGUCAAGAGAUUCUGUAGGACUUCCGAUGUAUCUCCUGCUGUGUAAAAUAUUCAGGUUCCUGAAGUGGGGGACAUUUUUAGGGCAACUGUAAUUUCUUCAUUUUUUCCAUCCCACAAGUGCUGGAGGCAGCAGUGAUCUGAGCUCUAGAAAGUUACUGUCCGUCACCAUCGAAACUUCCUUCUACUACUUAAAGUCCUCACAUUGGGCUGACCUGGGAAACAUGAAGAUAAAAAGAGUGGGUAAACAUGCCUGCUUGAUGAGCCAGAAAAAAAGGCAGAAACCUGUGGUCUGGGUAGAACAGAUCCUGCUCAAAAUGGACCUUACAGUCUAAUGAGGAAAAAACGUGUGCAGACAUACAUAAGAUAAGUGAGAGAGUCGGAGAAGAACAUCAGAAGUGAUAUUUGAGCAUAGUAAGGUCAAAGAAGUUUCAAAGUUUAGUCAUUUGUCCAUUCAGUAACUAUUUAUAGAGCAUCUUCUGUGUGCUAGGCACUAUAUAAGAAAUUAAGGGGCUGGGUGUGGUGGCUCAUGCCUGUAAUCCCAGCACUUCGGGAGGCUGAGGCAGGUGAAUCACCUGAGGUCAGGAGUUUGAGACCAGCCUGGCCAACAUGGUGAAACCCCGUCUCUACUAAAAAUACAAACAUUAGCCAAGUGUAGUGGCACAUGCCUGUAAUCCCAGCUACCCCGGAGGCUUAAGCAGAAGAAUCGCUGGAACCCAGGAGAAGGAGGCUACCGUGAGCCGAGAUUGCACCAUUGCACUCCAGCCUGGGCGACAGUGAGACUCUGUCUCAAAAAAAAAAAAAAGAAAGAAAGAAAGAAAAAAGAAAUUAAGGAUACACAGAAGAAAAGGCAUGGUCUGUGCCCUGAAGGAGCUUACAGUUAAGCAGAGAAGUUGCACGAUUUGGAAAUAGUAAAGUAAAUUGAGUCAGAUUUUGAAAGGCAAUGUAGAGCUGUUAGAAGUUUAUUCGCACAGGUAGCCAGGCACAGUGGCUCAUGCCUGUAAUCCCAGCACUUUGGGAAGCCAAGGUGGCAGAUCACUGGAGGUCAGGAGUUCAAGACCAGCCUGGCCAACACAGUGAAACCCCAUCUCUACUACAAAUACAAAAAUUAGCCAGAUGUGGUGGCAUAUGAUUGUAAUCCCAGCUACUCUGGAGGCUGAGGCAGGAGAAUCACUUGAAUCCGGGAGGCAGAGGUGGCAGUGAGCCGAGAUCGUGCCACUGCAGUCUAGGCUGGGCAAACAGAGCCAGACUCCGUCUCAAAAAAGAAGUUUAUUCAGACAGGAAAGAAGGCGAGAAGGGGCAGAUAUGUGAAAUACAUCCUCCUAAACCAAGUCAGAGCAGCUGGAGAGGGAGGUGGAGCAGUUAGCAAUCGGAAGCAUUCAAGUUUCAUUCAGGAUAUAAACCAGGAAAAGUUGUUCUGGCCCCUCAUCUGGUUUCAUGAAGGACAAUAUCUAGCAUGAGAGUGACAGGGGUUAGAAUAAUGGACAUUUUGGGGACUGGGUCCUAGCGGAAAUGAUGGAAUAAUGGAACAGGAGUUUGGAUGAAUGGGCAUAUUAUGGGAUUAAAGAAGAUUUGAAUACAAGCUUUCCUAAUAAAUGAAAGGGGAGGUGAAACUAGAGCAUGCUGAUGGCUGCACAGCAUUGUGAAUGCACUAAAUGCACUAACUGUCCACUUUAAAAUGUUUAGUAAUAUGUCAAUUUUACCUAAAUAAAAAAAAGGAAGCAACA